rnacentral:rRNA from 1 species
UGGGGAAUCAUGGUCAAUGGGCGAAAGCCUGAACCUGCGACGCCGCGUGAGUGAUGAAGGUCGUAAGAUCGUAAAACUCUUUUCAGGGAUCUUAAAGCCUGUCUGUCAACAACAGGCAGGUCUGACUCUCCCUGGAAGAAGCCCCAGCCAACUACGUGCCAGCAGCUGCGGUAAUACGUAGGGGGCGAGCGUUAUUCGGAAUUACUGGGUGUAAAGGGUAUGUAGGCGGCCCUUCAAGUCGCGUGUCAAAGUCCAGUGCUCAACGCUGGGUGUUCACUCGAUACUGACGGGCUUGAGGGCUGGAGAGGUGAGCGGAAUUCCCGGUGUGUGGUAAAAUACGUAGAGAUCGGGAGGAACACCAGCGGCGCAGGCGGCUCACUAGACAGUUUCUGACGCUAAGAUACGAAAGCGUGGGGAGCAAACA